AGCAGACUGAGCAACUACAGAGCUGGCCCUCUCAUCGCAUCAGCAUCCAGCAGGCCUGAUUGGACACACACAGGCACAUCUUCAGUCCUGCUUUCAGGCAGUUUCUUUAGACCCACUCUGAUCAUCUUUUGAGGUUUGCCCACUGAGACGAUUCAUCUGAACAUGUCUGCAAACACUGAGCCUCAACGCCUCCAGAAGAUACCAUUCUGGAGCCCAGCAGGUCUGGUCCAGCUUGUCUGCAGCUGCAACAAAGAACAUAUCAGCACAGCUCUGCACUGGCCAUACUACUGGAGAGGUCAAGCACUAAAGCAGCCAGAGGAAGUCUUUUUGCCAACCUAUCCAGGGUGUGUCCUGCCUUUACCCACUGGGUUAUGCUCCAGAAACCCCAUCACCCUAAAAGGGAUUCAACAGGUUUGAAAUAUGGAUGGAAAGUUCAGACCAAUAACAUGAUCUGCUCCCUCAUUUUCCGCACUGAAACCUGAAGAAGCAGCAGGAAGUCUCGGGAACCACUUGACGAAGACCGAUCCCUUGUUUGACCGAGAGCAGCUCCAGUUCCUGCACCGAUCUCUACAGGACCUCAGAACAUUCCGACAGGAAAAAAACAUGUUUCUGAGUCUCGCUGACUGGGAACGUCUGGAUUUAAUGGACUCUCCCUUGUGUUUGUUUGACCUGGGACAUCUGCUUAAACAACCGACAACCCGGAUCAGAGACGGUUUGUUGACUCUGCACUGCCUCCACCAGCUGGUGGUGGGGCCUUCAGUUUCUACGGUGUCCUCUCUGCUCCGACUCCACGCUGCUCCACCCUCCAGAGCCGUCAGUCGAUGAGGUGGAGGACAAUAUCGUCCACUAUGUGUGAUCUAUGAACAACAAAAUUUAAGACAUUCACACAUAGGAUUGUGUUUGUUUGAACAUAAUCAAAAGAAAGGGAUUUUUGUUUAAAGGCGACCUAUCAUAAUUCUAUGUUUUUGAGCGGAAGCAGAAGCUGCUCAAGUCCUGUCAUUUGCGAAAGCAGAAAGUUGAGGUUUCAUAGUAUUGGGCUUAUUAAUUUAUUUUGACAUAUGUUGUUUCUCAGAAUGUAACUUAACUUUCAGAGUAAAUAAAUCCAGUAGCAUAGGUUCUAAUAAAUAAUAUUUUUUGCUUAACAAAAAACAUACAAAAGUUAUUAAGUAGAUUUACUUGCCACACACUAGCAAAAACAAUUUUGUGUUAUGUGGAGCAUGGUUGUAGAAGUACAACUAAAGGGAACUACGUUCACACCAGAUUUAGCAACGCACGUUCAACCGAUCAUUUGUAAUGAAAAGUCUAUGUAAAGACGUGUAAAUGCGCGUUUUGGGCUUCCUUUUAUUUCAGGUUCUAUGAAUUGAACAAACGUUGCAAGUUAAAUCAGGUCAAACUUUGACCAGAGACUUGGAUUUGGUAGAGAUGUAUGGAUAACAUCACUUUUAGGUCACAGAGGUGCCAAAUGUGGAGGAGAAAUUCGUAAUUAGUUUGUGUCAAAAUUAAAUGACACCAAGUCUUUAUAUAUUGGAAUAGAGUUGUGAAAUGAAAAGCCUGGAGCAAGAUUUGCACCACUUCAACAUUUUCUUCAACCUCUUUCAACUGUAGAUGGCAAACAUGUGUUAGUAAACAGUUGAAAAAAGGCAUUGUCAAGAAUCCCCAUUAUUAUGAAUUAAUAUUUUGGAAUAUUCGUCAUGUAUCCGAUGUGAAUGUAGCUUUAGACCAUUUCCUCAAUCAGCUGAUUCUGACUUGCAGAAAAGCUGGUUUUAAGAUCAGCUUUCCACAACAGAAUAAGUUGCUUGUAUAAAUGCUGUAGAACGGUGGUGUUUUAUGCUAAAGGGAUGGGAGGUGUGAGAGGGGGUUGAAGUUUGUGUACAGGUGUGUAUGUAGGGAGAAAUUAUAUAUUACAUAUUUUUUAAUUCUUUUGUUAUUUAUUUAUGGUUUACAGCACUGUAUGAGAAGUGCUAUAUAUAAAGAUUGAUUGAUUAAAGGAAAGCUGCUUUUCUCCACAGCAGAACCGAUUGGAAACGAGUUUAUUGCAUAAAGUGUUACAAUAUUUGAAAGAGUGUAAACUAGUGGUGUAGGGAAAAUCAAUUGGCAAUAUAUUGUGAUAUUUCAUACUAGUAUCCAAUUAAACUGUAGACAUAAUGCUAUUUAAUUCAUUAUUUAUGAGCAUCUUUCAGCGUCUCACUUUAUUUUCCAUCUAAACCUCCGACCACUAGUUGGCAGCAUACUAAGCCUCUU